rnacentral:rRNA from 1 species
UGGGGAAUAUUGCACAAUGGGGGAAACCCUGAUGCAGCGACGCCGCGUGAGUGAAGAAGUAUCUCGGUACGUAAAGCUCUAUCAGCAGGGAAGAAAAUGACGGUACCUGACUAAGAAGCCCCGGCUAACUACGUGCCAGCAGCCGCGGUAAUACGUAGGAGGCAAGCGUUAUCCGGAUUUACUGGGUGUAAAGGGAGCGUAGACGGCAGCACAAGUCUGGAGUGAAAUCCCGGGGCUUAACCCCGGAACUGCUUUGGAAACUGUGCGGCUGGAGUGCAGGAGGGGUAAGCGGAAUUCCUAGUGUAGCGGUGAAAUGCGUAGAUAUUAGGAGGAACACCGGUGGCGAAGGCGGCUUACUGGACUGUAACUGACGUUGAGGCUCGAAAGCGUGGGGAGCAAACAGG